UACGUAGGCAGCAAGCGUUGUUCGGAGUUACUGGGCGUAAAGGGUGUGUAGGCGGUUGUUUAAGUUUGGUGUGAAAUCUCCCGGCUCAACCGGGAGGGUGCGCCGAAUACUGAAUAACUAGAGUGCGGGAGAGGGACGUGGAAUUCCAGGUGUAGCGGUGAAAUGCGUAGAUAUCUGGAGGAACACCGGUGGCGAAGGCGACGUCCUGGACCGGCAUUGACGCCGAGGCGCGAAAGCCAGGGGAGCAAACGGG
rnacentral:rRNA from 1 species